rnacentral:lncRNA from 1 species
UGAAAUGGUUGAAAAUAUCAAAUACCUAUUAUCAAACUUUAUGGUUUCCUUGCGGCGUUGAGUGCUCUGGGUGUCUUCGUUGUACAUGGUUUUGUUACUCCUAAUUUCUCCAACUAUAUCUGUUAACCAAGAUAAACAUAAACGCUACUUAUUAUAUAGCGUGCUUGUAGUGAAGCUUUAGCUAUUCAAACCUGAAAAAAUGAGUGCUGGUAUUGGCAAGUGACAUGAGCUACUCGUAUUGCGGAACCUGAAGCUCUCCC